rnacentral:lncRNA from 1 species
CUGCAGUUAAAUAAAAUUUAACAUAAUCUAACCAAACUUAAUGACUGUUUGAAAGGGUUCAUCUACAAUUUAAGACAGACUAACUAGUCUGGUGGUUUUACCCUUAGGUCCCUCUGUGCCCCCACUGCCCCUUCUAAGGCAAAGAUCUCUUCUACGACCAUCAUCAUCAGUUCCAUCCAAUUGUGGAGCACCACCUCCUCCCCUUCCUCCUCCAGUCCCUCCACACACUGCUCCCCUAAUACAAGCUUAUGGAAUGAACACAGGACAACAUCCAGACAGCAACAUUGCAAAAUUAAGGACACGUAAAUAUGGUGAUAAAUAUUAGUCUGCCCCAAACUCAUCUUUCAGAGUUCAGAGUCAUUGGACAUUGAGUUACAAUAAACAGGACGUUAUUCUGAUUUUGUUUAAUGACAAAUGAUAAUUUCGUUUAUUCAUUAAUUUCUUUUAUUUUUCAGGUCCUACGCUACUUGAGGCCACGGGAGACAUUAAAAGCACACAGAUCAAUGACUCUCAGGUGAACAACACUGUUUACUCUACCUCCCCUAAGAGGGAGACAGAGGGCAGCAGAAGGCAGUGGCAGGGUGGCACAACAAGCAACGUCCGGUAAGUUAAAUGUCUCUAGUGUGGCUGGUGAUUGUGUCCACAACUGUAAAUGAAUGCUGUUGUUCCCACAUGACAUUUUGUCCAGAAUUCUUAAUCAUCGCUCAUUACCUCAUCUACUGUAACUCUUUCACCUUCCUCUACUUUACUCAGAAUUUCAGAUAAGCUCUUUUGUUUUUUUCACAGGCUCCCUGGCAAUAUAGAAUUGGGAGCUCGAAACCCAGGCUUUGAUCAAAUUAACCGGGAGCUGAAGAACCGCUUUGGUAUAAACAGCACCUCUGAGGCUCAUCUGAAAGAGAACGAGACCUCUAAGCCCAUCUCUGACUUCAAACAGAAGAAACUAGUAGAAGCAGUGAAGGAGGAACUACAGAGACAAGGUCCCUCUGUGCCCCCACUGCCCCUUCUAAGGCAAAGAUCUCUUCUACGACCAUCAUCAUCAUCAGUUCCAUCCAAAUGUGGAGCACCACCUGCUCACCUUCCUCCUCCAGUCCCUCCACACACUGCUCCCCUAAUACAAGCUUAUGGAAUGAACACAGGAAAGUCGACACUGCUGAGUCAAGUCAGAGAAGGGACCCAGCUAAAGGUGGCGCAAGAAAACUUGCCAGUAUCCAACACCAGAAGUCGUCUAUCUAAUAAUUACGCAUAUCAAUCUGGUUGGUUUGUUAUAGUAAUAAUAGUGUUUUUCAUUUAUUUUUUAUUGUAUCUUUUACCUAUUUCUGCUGGAAAAUGAGGUGUCACUAUGGGUUUUUAUGUGUUAAAGGGGCUGGCUUUUAACCUCUGUAUAAUCAUAGCACAAUUAGUCAAUAUUUACUCAGCCAAAAGAUGGUUUCAAAGAAGUGAUGCAGGACAAAGUAAUAACAAUUUUAAUGCAGUCAGAUGAGAUUAUGAGUUGACUAGUGUGGAUGUCUAAUGUUUUUUCACCACUAUAGCACCUACAACAGCAAAAAAAGUGAUCGCCAAAUAAUGGUUAUUUUAGUUUAUAUAAGUAUAAGUAUUUUAGAGUUAUAUAAUAUAUAAUUAUAAUUAUUAUAAUUAUAUAAUGGUUAUAUUAUAUAACCAGCCAUGUGGCGUGCACGGUGGAGCAGUGGGUAGCACUGUCGCCUCACAGUAAGAAGGGCCUGAGUUUGAGAUGUCAUUUUACGCAUUAAAAAAAAAAAAACACCAACCCCGGAUUUACAGCCCUGUCUGCCAGUGAAAGUUGCCCAAUGCGUUUUAUGACCUUGUAGCGAAUUCAAUUUAAUAAUUUAACAUUAAUGCAGAAACAUUAAUAUUCCUCAAAAUAGGGGCACGAGGUUGGUUUUAAAGCUGAAACCUCGCUAGACAAACACCAGAUGUCAAUUUAGUGAGUUAAUACUUAUGAUUAAUAGUAAUCACAAUUUCUUUGAUAAAACCAAAUCAGUCUCUAAUGUCAUGAGUUCUUGUCAAAGUGUCAGUGGCAUUUGUUGUUGUCUGAAGAAGGACAAACACAAAACCAGAUUUUAACGUUUUAUUAUGCUAAUACUAUGGAAUAUAUGAAUAAAAGGAUAAUUGUUGCUUGUUGUUGUUGCUGU